AAAGAAUUAGUUUAAAAAACAUUAGAAUGUCAAACUAAAAAUAUUAUUUAUUUAAUAUUCUUUU
rnacentral:tRNA from 4 species